rnacentral:rRNA from 1 species
AUUGAACGCUAGCGGGAUGCCUUACACAUGCAAGUCGAACGGAGUGGCGAACGGGUGAGUAAUGUAUCGGAACGUGCCCAGUAGCGGGGGAUAACUACGCGAAAGCGUAGCUAAUACCGCAUACUAUUGGAGCGGCCGAUAUCGGAUUGGCUAGUUGGUGGGGUCACGGCUCACCAAGGCGACGAUCCGGAGCUGGUUUGAGAGGCCGACCAGCCACACUGGGGCUGGGAAACGGCCCAGACGCCUACGGGAUGCAGUGGUGGGGAAUUUUGGACAAUGGGGGAAACCCUGAUUCAGCCAUCCCGCGAGAGCGAUGAGGGCCUUCGAGCUGUAGAGCACUUAUGGCAGGAGAGCGGUACCUGCAGAAUAAGCACCGGCUAACUACGUGCCAGCAGCCGCGGUAAUAC